GUACUGUAUCCAAAAUAUUUUAAGAAAAAUCAAGUAGGCUAAUAUACUGUUUUAUUUAAUCUACAGAAAUCAUAUAUCUCUUGCCAGUGUGCCACUCUUCGACCAAUCAGAGGCCAAAAGUUACUACCGCGUGACCAAUAUGAAGCAAAGAAGAAAAUACGAGAAAUGUAAACGGAUAUGAAUUGGUGCUCAUGAAGAAUUUAUGAAUCUUUAUUUUGGAAGACUAGAGGACAGUAGGACAUUCGUGAGAAAUGCAUCGCAAUGAGGGUCACUCUUCCUGGAACGGACUGUGACGGUGGCUGUCUUUGAAAGAGUUGUUCUGACCCAUUGGUGUGACAGCGCAGGAAACGUACCAUCAUUUCUAAUGUCCUGCUGAAACCAGACCGUUGUGUGUACUCCAGUCAAGAUGCACUUGAGGUAAUCAGUGACAGGAUUACUGCUAACUGCCACCCAGUUAGUAGUGCGAGUGAAAAGAGCCCACCAGCAGAACUUCACAGCAGCAGAGGCAGCGGCUCCCUCUGUGGGUCUGGCCACGCAGCUCACCCAUGAGGCUCUCUAAUCUAGCUCUGAAUGAAUCCAGUCUGUGCCACUGACUGCCACAUCAGAGCUCAAGUGCUGGCCAGAGUGGAUGAGCUAAUCGUUUCUCUUGGAGGUGUUGGGAUAGCAGAAGAACGAGAGAGCGAGCGGGUGAAUUAGAGAGAGAGAGAGAGAGAGAGAGAAUGGGUGUGGAGAGUGGAGACCACCCACCCGGAGGAUUCAGGAUUCGGGAGGCCCAGACGCGGAGCUCCAUUCUAUGACCCUCUGUGCCGCCCGGAGCUCCAAGCUGGACCCUUCGCAAUUGUGUUGCCGCCCCAAUGUCCCCCAACCCCCACCUCUUUCCCUCCCUCGAGCUAACACAGGGAGAAAGGAGGGGGUGGUGGUAAACAGCCUGUCCCUGUCAUUCCCUCGCUCUCGCUCUCCUUCACAGUACAAUGGGAGGGAAUGCAGUGGCUGAAGCACUUUUAGAGUGGCCAAAUGCUGCAAAGACUGAAUGAAACAUCUGUGGAGGCUCAUAGCCUAAGGGGGAAAUGCUAUUCUGUUGUGCACCAAACUGGCAACCUGUUUUUUCUGAUUUUUUUUUAACUUGGCGUAUGUGAGCAUACUGUAUAAGUGAUUUUUACAAGGGUGCGAAAGAUGUGAUUUUAUGUGUUUUGUUGUUUGGGGGGCAGAUUCCUACAUAUGUUUUCCACAUCCUUAUAAUUUCAUACAUAUUACAAGCUGUUAGAGAAAUGUAAUGAUUUUGUGGAAGUUAUAAACUGGAAACACGUAAGUAAACAUUCUUUGAGAGAGAAAAAUAGGCAAAAUUGCAGAAGAAUGUACUAUAAUCAACUUUAUGUCAUUUUAAACUUGUUAUUGUCUUUUUAUGUUUAGACUGAGACGUCAAUGAAAACCUGUUUGAAUGUAAAUACUGAAACCAUGUGGUUUGUCUUGAAAGGUUUUUUGCAUAUUAAAAGCAUUCAAAUUAUAAUCAUAAUGGUAUCCUAACAUAAAUUAAUUGUUUUGUUUUUUUCUGCCACAGAGAGAGCCUUUUUCCAUAGACUUUAAAGCAUUAAACCUCUCUGAAGCACCUCUAUGAUACGUAUGAUGCCCAGAAGUCCAUCUGGCAUUUUUUGACCAUUUGCCCAUCUUCUAUUUCAUCUGUAUUGUUUAUCAGAUGUUUGUGUACACAAUA